UUUUUCAGUGUAUGCUAAAAACUGAAAUUCCUCUGAAACAAAGAAACAUUUGCUCCAAAGUCCAAUACAAGUGUUUUCUAAAAACUCUCUUCCAGUUAUUUUAAAAUUUGUUCUUAAGAGUUGUGCAGAAGACACUGAAUCACCCCGCUGCAGACAGGCAGCCACCUGAUUCCACAAUACAAAGACGCAGAGGACACCAGACCACCAGACCAAGUUCCAGGAAAAGGAGUCUACAGGAGUCUGCAGGAGUAAUGAGUCUACAGGAGUCUACAGGAGUAGUGACCAGAUGGCUGAAGUACGGAAAACAUCCAGAGUAUGCACAUAUCUGCUAUCAUCUCCUGUUAAUACAAAUUACAAUAAGAUUUCCUGUGACAUUAUGGCUCCCCAAUAGUAACCCUUUCUUUAGAGAGUAA
rnacentral:lncRNA from 1 species